UGGGGAAUAUUGCACAAUGGGCGCAAGCCUGAUGCAGCCAUGCCGCGUGUAUGAAGAAGGCCUUCGGGUUGUAAAGUACUUUCAGUCGGGAGGAAGGUGGUAAGGUUAAUAACCUUAUCAAUUGACGUUACCGACAGAAGAAGCACCGGCUAACUCCGUGCCAGCAGCCGCGGUAAUACGGAGGGUGCAAGCGUUAAUCGGAAUUACUGGGCGUAAAGCGCACGCAGGCGGUUGAUUGAGUCAGAUGUGAAAUCCCCGGGCUUAACCCGGGAAUUGCAUCUGAUACUGGUCAGCUAGAGUCUUGUAGAGGGGGGUAGAAUUCCAUGUGUAGCGGUGAAAUGCGUAGAGAUGUGGAGGAAUACCGGUGGCGAAGGCGGCCCCCUGGACAAAGACUGACGCUCAGGUGCGAAAGCGUGGGUAGCAAACAGG
rnacentral:rRNA from 1 species